ACCCUACUUAGCCCUGAGGGUUGCUCUAAUGGAGAUGUGGGGUCUGGGGCGAAGGAGAUGACCACCCCAGCAUUUUCCACUCUACCUGCCACAGGUGCAGCUCAGUUCCCGAGCUGGACUUCGAGCGUGAGUGACAGCUAUUGACGGACGCGAAUGUGGCCCAUCGACCCCUGGGCUGUGCGUGCACGGGGCCAGGCUGCCGCUGCAGCCCGACAGGAUGAAUUGACAGAUCACCGACCACGCUCCCGACACACAAUUGUUUCAGCGAAAAUGAGAAGUAACGAUCAGGCUGCAACGGACUGCUGAGAAGGCCUCCCAGCCACUUCGUGCAGCCUCUCGGCUCCUCCCGUGCUCGGGGCCCCCAAACGGACGCGUUGCCAAUGGCAUUAUUCCCCAAAAAGACAUCCUGGGGGAGGGGCAGAGGCUGGGCAGGGGUGCUGGCAGUGGGGGGCUCCGGACCCCCAGGGUGGCUCGGAGAAAUGGGCGCAUUUGUGUGGCCCAUGGGGGACGUGGUCAUUCCUGGAGCUGGUGGCUGUUCACCAUGGCCUCCCAGGGACUGGCACCCCGCAUCAGCGGUCCUCUCUUCUCUUCCAGGAUCGACAGAGAAGUGGCGUUGGUGGAGAUGAGUCCUGCCGCCCCCACUCCAGGCAGCCGUGCAUGGGGUCCCCGGGGAAGGCCGUGUAGGGGUGUGCUAGCAAGGAGGAAAGACCUGACUGGCUCCGGUCCUGCUGUGUCCCCAGGCCCUGAGGAGGUGCUGGGCCUCUGGCGGCAAGGUUUCGGGCUGCAGGUCCUGCCAGCUGUGGCUUGAGGCCUGAGACGCCAUCUGCUAUUUCAAGGACUCAAAAGAAUCCUAAUUUGAGUCUGGAAAACAGAGUUCGCGCAGCUCUAACAACGUCUUAGAAGGUUCCUUGGAAGGCCUGGCACCAGAACCGGUUCCCCAGAGGUGGGUAGAAACAGGGUAGGUGCAAACACCAUACUAACAAUAAUUUUAAUAAAAAACACUGAAUGAGUACAGAUGCCUUGGUCACAAAGGUCUGAUACGCCCAACGGCAGAGGACCAAGUUCAGGGAGUGCCGGUGACCACCCAGCUCUGCCCACCUUUCAGCUGUGUGACUUUGGGAAAGACACUUGAGCUGUCUGAGCCGCAGCUUUCUCCUUGGCAACAUGGGGACGCUGAUUCGAGCUUGCAGGUGGCUGGGCCCAAUAGCUCCUCAGGUGUCCUGAGAGAGGGGAGAGGCCACCUUCCGCGCUGGCGGCCUGUGGGAGGAGGGUGGGCAAGGGGCUUGGGGUGAGCAGGCUCUCGGUUAUUGGAUUAUCUCAUUUGCAAACAAUAAAUGUCAGCAGCAGGAGAGCUUGUCAGAAACCCCCUCCCAGGAUGCAAAUGUCCCCUUUAUCUGCCUCUGCCCUUUAUUAAAACAACCACAGAGCCAGCGGACAAACAAGACAAUUACAUGUAAAUGAUGUCAUCUUCCUCCCUCAUCUGCUUUAAUGAGGCCCCGGCCUGGCCAGCCCUGACGGAAGCCGGAAGACUGCGAUUAAAACGCCACCAAGGGGCAACACUGACCUUUCGCUUUAACGACUGACCCGGGCCCGGGGCUGGUGUGACAGCUGGGACCUGUGCGCUCAGGCUUUACAAGCGAUGACACUUCAACAGUGAAUAUUUACUGUCUCCACUGAGCAGCCGCCCUUCAGAGCUGGCUGGACUGUGAAGAGCUCCACGCACUUGGCGAUGGGGGACCCCUCGCACCCUCCUCAGGGCGGCUUGUCUCCAGGCCUGGGGGGCGCACUCCUGGGCCCCGGGUGGAGGGCUGGGUGGUGGGGACACAGGGGCCA